UGCAAGUCGAGCGGAACGAUCCUAGCUUGCUAGGAGGCGUCGAGCGGCGGACGGGUGAGUAACGCAUAGGAAUCUACCCAGUCGUGGGGGAUAACCUGAGGAAACUCAGGCUAAUACCGCAUACGUCCUACGGGAGAAAGCGGGGGCUCUUCGGACCUCGCGCGAUUGGAUGAGCCUAUGUCGGAUUAGCUAGUUGGUAAGGUAACGGCUUACCAAGGCGACGAUCCGUAGCUGGUCUGAGAGGAUGAUCAGCCACACCGGGACUGAGACACGGCCCGGACUCCUACGGGAGGCAGCAGUGGGGAAUAUUGGACAAUGGGCGAAAGCCUGAUCCAGCCAUGCCGCGUGUGUGAAGAAGGCUUUCGGGUUGUAAAGCACUUUCAGCGAGGAAGAAAGCGUGCCGUUUAAUACACGGUACGGACGACAUCACUCGCAGAAGAAGCACCGGCUAACUCCGUGCCAGCAGCCGCGGUAAUACGGAGGGUGCAAGCGUUAAUCGGAAUUACUGGGCGUAAAGCGCGCGUAGGCGGCGUGUCACGCCGGGUGUGAAAGCCCCGGGCUCAACCUGGGAACGGCAUCCGGAACGGGCAGGCUAGAGUGCAGGAGAGGAAGGUAGAAUUCCCGGUGUAGCGGUGAAAUGCGUAGAGAUCGGGAGGAAUACCAGUGGCGAAGGCGGCCUUCUGGACUGACACUGACGCUGAGGUGCGAAAGCGUGGGUAGCAAACAGGAUUAGAUACCCUGGUAGUCCACGCCGUAAACGAUGUCGACUAGCCGUUGGGUCCCUUGAGGACUUAGUGGCGCAGUUAACGCGAUAAGUCGACCGCCUGGGGAGUACGGCCGCAAGGUUAAAACUCAAAUGAAUUGACGGGGGCCCGCACAAGCGGUGGAGCAUG
rnacentral:rRNA from 1 species